AUGAUGACAGUUCAAAUCUACCUCAAUCUCUCCCAUUGCAUUCUUAAUGCUAAAGAGCUGCUUGUAUGUUACCUUAACCCAGCCACAGUGGAUUUAUGGGUGUGCACACAGACCAGUCUGAAGUUGGCUGACCAUAGAACAUCUAACCCAAAAACGUGCAUAUCCCUUUCAGAGAGCAAAACACGAAGUCAAGAUACAAAAAUAAAGAUGCUCAAAAUCUAG
rnacentral:lncRNA from 1 species